rnacentral:rRNA from 1 species
AACGCUAGCUACAGGCUUAACACAUGCAAGUCGAGGGGCAUCAGUUUGGUUUGCUUGCAAACCAAAGCUGGCGACCGGCGCACGGGUGAGUAACACGUAUCCAACCUGCCUCAUACUCGGGGAUAGCCUUUCGAAAGAAAGAUUAAUAUCCGAUAGCAUAUAUUUCCCGCAUGGGUUUUAUAUUAAAGAAAUUCGGUAUGAGAUGGGGAUGCGUUCCAUUAGUUUGUUGGGGGGGUAACGGCCCACCAAGACUACGGUGGAUAGGGGUUCUGAGAGGAAGGUCCCCCACAUUGGAACUGAGACACGGUCCAAACUCCUACGGGAGGCAGCAGUGAGGAAUAUUGGUCAAUGGACGCGAGUCUGAACCAGCCAAGUAGCGUGAAGGAUGACUGCCCUAUGGGUUGUAAACUUCUUUUAUAUGGGAAUAAAGUUGUCCACGUGUGGAUUUUUGUAUGUACCAUAUGAAUAAGGAUCGGCUAACUCCGUGCCAGCAGCCGCGGUAAUACGGAGGAUCCGAGCGUUAUCCGGAUUUAUUGGGUUUAAAGGGAGCGUAGGCGGAUUGUUAAGUCAGUUGUGAAAGUUUGCGGCUCAACCGUAAAAUUGCAGUUGAUACUGGCAGUCUUGAGUGCAGUAGAGGUGGGCGGAAUUCGUGGUGUAGCGGUGAAAUGCUUAGAUAUCACGAAGAACUCCGAUUG